ACAAUUUUUUUUUUUUUAGUUUUUUUUCGAGUUUUGAGUUAUUCAUGCACCUGCAAGAGUAGAGGGCAUACAAGAUGGCACACACCAGGAGGGAUUCAUCAAAGUUUUAUGCUUAAUUUAAUGCUAUUCUGGAAAGUUCUGUUCGUUUCGUCUCUGGAAUGAUCUCAGAACACCGAAUGCUCCCAGAAGAUCCACCUGUUCAAAGAAGCCUCUUUGAUGCACCUUGCGUUAUCACAAGCCGACAUACCACAAGGAAUCAUCACUAAUUCUUGCCGACAGCCUCAUGUGUCAGUUUUUCCUCUGCACUUUAUACUGUCCCUUUUGCCUUAGCUGAAAUCACCCCAGGCCAGACGUAUAAUAAUAAUAUCUGCAGAGCACUGAUACUGUAGCA